rnacentral:tRNA from 1 species
UUGCGUGUAGCUCAGCUGGUAGAGCGCCCGGCCGUUAACCGGGAGGUCGCGGGUUCGAGGCCUGCCGCGCGAGCCA